ensembl:piRNA 21ur-10262 ncRNA
UUGAUUUAAACGUUCGAGUGG